CCCCGAUCCAUCGAUUAAUUAUCUUUUUAGAUAAAAAUUUUGCGGUUAUUUUAGUACUGAUGGUAUCUGAUAAACUAAAGUGAGAAAUGUUUUCAUAAUUCACUAAAAUAUGUACUUUAUUGGCGUAGGCGAUAACUUUAGGGUUGAUGAAAGACCAUGAUACGUACAUUACAACAUCCAUCCAGCUAACGAUAAUGAAAAGGAGAAUUUGCUAGUAGUUUUUACCAUUUUAAAUGCCCGGCAAUCGGAUUGAUAAACAUGUAUUAAAAUAUUCAAGUCUUGUAAAAUAAACUUGAUAACCCCAUGCAGAAUUCACUCAGUCGAGUAUGGCUUUCCGGGAUUGUCGGAGGUAUAACGGAACGCAUCAAACUAUGGAAUUCCCCGGCCACAGUAUCACCAAUAUAAGACCCCUCACUUGCACGUGCAUCGUUACAUAGUUUCUAGAGGCUCCUUUUGCCACCAAAAUUAAGAGCCAAUCCCAUCCGCUUGCCCUAAAAAAUAGAAACACUUUCUUCACAAAGCGUAUUAAAACAGUCCACCAAGAGCUAAAGUCAGUCUAGAGUUUGGAGUGUUUGGACACGUCAAAAAAGGUCCCACUAAAAACGUAAAAGACAAUCAUUCCGUUGGUGUUUGUUUUCUUGGGAAAUGAAGACUCAUGUGCUUAUCGUUCUGGCGUGCAUCACAAUACCUCUGCUGUCGCUGGAAUCACACGCGCACUUUGGAAUUUACAGGCCUACAGUUAAAUCGGGUAACAGAGCUGUCGCGCGGACCAGUACGGAGGCUUUGAUAGACGCGAAAGCGAAACAAAUGGCGCGUAAUUUUAUUCUACGAAUGCAGAGAAAGAUCCACGUGAUCCUCGUCAACAUCACCAUGCAUUCUUUUCUUCAACGAGGUAUCCCAGUCAAAGCAAUGGCAAGCCCGACGACUGUUCGAGGGACGGACAAUAAGCCCGUUGCCACGGUGAUUCCGAGCGCACGUUGGUAUCACGGCAGGCAAGCAUGAUGAGAUGUGGUAGAAAUGUUGUAUUCAUACAUUUAUUUAUCAAAUGUUGUAUUUAUGUAACUUUUGUAACUUAUUUGAUUAAAAAAAAUUAACAGAAUCAUGAGAAAAUUAAAUUCUUUUCCUUA